rnacentral:rRNA from 1 species
CAAUAGCGUAUAUUAAAGUUGUUGCGGUUAAAAAGCUCGUAGUUGGAUUUCUGCUGAGGACGAUCGGUCCGCCCACUGGGUGAGUAUCUGGCUCGGCCUUGGCAUCUUCUUGGAGAACGUUCUGCACUUGACUGUGUGGGGCGGUAUCCAGGACUUUUACUUUGAGGAAAUUAGAGUGUUUCAAGCAGGCGCACGCCUUGAAUACAUUAGCAUGGAAUAAUAAGAUAGGACCUUAGUUCUAUUUUGUUGGUUUCUAGAGCUGAGGUAAUGAUUAAUAGGGAUAGUUGGGGGCAUUCGUAUUUAACUGUCAGAGGUGAAAUUCUUGGAUUUGUUCAAGACGAACUAAUGCGAAAGCAUCUACCAAGGAUGUUUUCAUUAA